rnacentral:lncRNA from 1 species
GACUUUAACAAAAAAAUAAUUUUUUUCAACUGUUAAUACGCAUAAACCUCGAAGUGGUUUCCUGUUCAGCUACUAUUUUGAUGUCAAAUAUAAACUACACAACAAAACAAAAUUAUAUGAACGACCUCCAGUUUUAACAGUCUACAACAGUCCACAGUCCAAAACAAAUUAAAUAGUUCGAAUUAUACAAGUCAUCUAUCUAUUGUUCCUGUAAUACAAAUUACAGUGCAGCCAAACAUUUGCACAAUCUAAUUACGAACGACAGAAAAUAAUCCGUGCACAUAAAAAUUGAUGAACAUUUUUAUUUCAGUUCCACUCCGAGGUUACACUGAUGUGAGUUCAAGCUGUGUACCUGAAGUGAAUCAAGUAGAAAGGGGAAGAGAUUAGCAAACAGCAAAGCAAUCCGCGAUUUGAAAUUUCAAACAGUAGCAAAAACAGUCAAUCACAGCCCAGAAAUAACUUGAUGACUCUAUAAAUGGUUUAAACCAAAGAGAGUAUUUAUCAAUCCCAAAUUAGCAUAGACAGGCCCAGAAAUGCACACAUGAAAGCAAUACAAUCAACCGAUCAAACCAAAACAGCGUCAAGUAAUCCAAAAUGAACCAACCCUUCAUUCAUAAUCAGUAAACACUAAUAACUGAUUCGAGCUACUCUUAAAUCUCCAUAUUGCGCAGAAACCAGAGAAAACUCGAGUAAUUUCAAUCCUAGUGUGAGCUAGAGACUUGAAAUCUGAAACUGAUUGAAUUAAGCUAAUGCAAUGGUAAUGUUUUUUGGAUUUUUUUUGAUUUUGUGUUUGUUUUUGGAUUUUUGAAUGCUGAAUUUCAAAACUAGAUCUGAAACUAAGGAGAGCUUUUUGGGGGGAAUUUUUUAGCUACCCAAACUUUGGGAAUUUUCAGGGGUGUCUCCCACCUCUCAAUGAAGGCAUUAGGGUUUCCCUUUUAUAGGCAACAAAUAGGUUGAAUGUUCUAGAU